CACUUCGGUGUGGCGAAGCUGAGAACUUAAGCGCCAGUAAACGGCGGUGGUAACUAUAACCAUCCUAAGGUAGCGAAAUUCCUUGUCGGGUAAGUUCCGACCUGCACGAAUGGCGUAACGACUUCUCGACUGUCUCAACCAUAGGCCCGGUGAAAUUGCACUACGAGUAAAGAUGCUCGUUUCGCGCAGCAGGACGGAAAGACCCCGGGACCUUUACUAUAGCUUGAUAUUGGUGUUCGGUUCGGCUUGUGUAGGAUAGGUGGGAGACUUUGAAACAUCGGCGCCAGCCGGUGGUGAGUCGUCGUUGAAAUACCACUCUGGUCGUGCUGGAUGUCUAACCUCGGUCCGUGAUCCGGAUCAGGGACAGUGUCUGGUGGGUAGUUUAACUGGGGCGGUUGCCUCCUAAAGGGUAACGGAGGCGCCCAAAGGUUCCCUCAGCCUGGUUGGCAAUCAGGUGUUGAGUGUAAGUGCACAAGGGAGCUUGACUGUGAGACUGACGGGUCGAGCAGGUACGAAAGUAGGGACUAGUGAUCCGGCGGUGGCUUGUGGAAGCGCCGUCGCUCAACGGAUAAAAGGUACCCCGGGGAUAACAGGCUGAUCUUCCCCAAGAGUCCAUAUCGACGGGAUGGUUUGGCACCUCGAUGUCGGCUCGUCGCAUCCUGGGGCUGGAGUCGGUCCCAAGGGUUGGGCUGUUCGCCCAUUAAAGCGGUACGCGAGCUGGGUUUAGAACGUCGUGAGACAGUUCGGUCCCUAUCCGCUGUGCGCGUAGGAGUCUUGAGAAGGGCUGUCCCUAGUACGAGAGGACCGGGACGGACGAACCUCUGGUGUGCCAGUUGUCCUGCCAAGGGCAUGGCUGGUUGGCUACGUUCGGGAGGGAUAACCGCUGAAAGCAUCUAAGCGGGAAGCCUGCUUCGAGAUGAGGGCUCCCACCCCCUUGAGGGGUUAAGGCUCCCAGUAGACGACUGGGUUGAUAGGCCGGAUGUGGAAGCCCUGUAAGGGGUGGAGCUGACCGGUACUAAUAGGCCGAGGGCUUGUCCUC
rnacentral:rRNA from 1 species